rnacentral:rRNA from 1 species
AGCAUAUCAAUAAGCGGAGGAAAAGAAACCAACAGGGAUUGCCCUAGUAACGGCGAGUGAAGCGGCAACAGCUCAAAUUUGAAAUCUGGCUUCGGCCCGAGUUGUAAUUUGCAGAGGAUGCUUCUGGCGCGGUGCCUUCCGAGUUCCCUGGAACGGGACGCCAAAGAGGGUGAGAGCCCCGUAUGGUCGGACACCAAGCCUGUGUGAAGCUCCUUCGACGAGUCGAGUAGUUUGGGAAUGCUGCUCUAAAUGGGAGGUAAAUCUCUUCUAAAGCUAAAUACCGGCCAGAGACCGAUAGCGCACAAGUAGAGUGAUCGAAAGAUGAAAAGCACCUUGAAAAGGGGGUUAAAUAGUACGUGAAAUUGUUGAAAGGGAAGCACUUAUGACCAGACUUGGGCCGGGCGGCUCAUCAGGGGUUCUCCCCUGUGCACUCCGCCCGGCACAGGCCAGCAUCGGUUUUCGCGGGGGGAUAAGACCGUCGGGAACGUAGCACCCUCCGGGGUGUGUUAUAGCCUGGCGGACGAUACCCUCGCGGGGACCGAGGUUCGCGCUCCGCAAGGAUGCUGGCGUAAUGGUCAUCAGUGACCCGUCUUGAAACACGGACCAAGGAGUCGUCCAUUAGAGCGAGCGUUUGGGUGUAAAACCCGCACGCGUAAUGAAAGUGAACGCAGGUGAGAGCUUCGGCGCAUCAUCGACCGAUCCUGAUGUUCUCGGAAGGAUUUGAGUAAGAGUUUUAACGGACGGACCCGAAAGACAGUGAACUAUGCUUGAAUAGGGUGAAGCCAGAGGAAACUCUGGUGGAGGCUCGCAGCGGUUCUGACGUGCAAAUCGAUCGUCAAAUUUGAGCAUGGGGGCGAAAGACUAAUCGAACUGUCUAGUAGCUGG